rnacentral:rRNA from 1 species
GUGCCAGCCGCCGCGGUAAUACGUAGGGUCCGAGCGUUGUCCGGAGUUACUGGGCGUAAAGCGCGCGCAGGCGGCCCGCCAAGACCGGCGUGAAAGCCCCCGGCUCAACCGGGGAGGGUCGUCGGUGACUGGCGGGCUCGAGGACGGCAGGGGUCGGUGGAAUGCCCGGUGUAGUGGUGAAAUGCGUAGAGAUCGGGCGGAACACCCGUGGCGAAGGCGGCCGACUGGGCCGGUCCUGACGCUGAGGCGCGAAGGCGUGGGGAGCGAACGGGAUUAGAAACCCUGGUAGUCC